rnacentral:rRNA from 1 species
CCUACGGGCGGCAGCAGUGAGGAAUAUUGGUCAAUGGGCGUAAGCCUGAACCAGCCAAGUCGCGUGAGGGAUGAAGGUUCUAUGGAUCGUAAACCUCUUUUAUAAGGGAAUAAAGUGUGGGACGUGUCCUAUUUUGUAUGUACCUUAUGAAUAAGGCUCGGCUAACUCCGUGCCCGCAGCCGCGGUAAUCCGGAGGAUCCGAGCGUUAUCCGGAUUUAUUGGGUUUAAAGGGUGCGUAGGCGGCCUUUUAAGUCAGCGGUGAAAGUCUGUGGCUAAACCAUAGUAUUGCCGUUGAAACUGGGGGGCUUGAGUAUGUUAGAGGCAGGCGGAAUGCGUGGUGUAGCGGUGAAAUGCUUAGAUAUCACGCAGAACCCCGAUUGCGAAGGCAGCCUGCCAGGCCAUGACUGACGCUGAGGCACGAAAGCGUGGGGAUCAAACAGGAUUAGAUACCCGUGUAGUC